GACGAACGCUGGCGGCGUGCUUAACACAUGCAAGUCGAACGGAAAGGCCCUGCUUUUGUGGGGUGCUCGAGUGGCGAACGGGUGAGUAACACGUGAGUAACCUGCCCUUGACUUUGGGAUAACUUCAGGAAACUGGGGCUAAUACCGGAUAGGAGCUCCUGCUGCAUGGUGGGGGUUGGAAAGUUUCGGCGGUUGGGGAUGUACUCGCGGCUUAUCAGCUUGUUGGGUGGGUAGUGGCUUACCAAGGCUUUGCCGGGUAGCCGGCCUGGGAGGGUGACCGGCCACGUUGGGACUGCGAUGCGGCACAGACUCGUCCGGGAGGCAGCAGUGGGGAAUAUUGCACAAUGGGCGGAAGCCUGAUGCAGCACCGCCGCGUGCGGGAUGACGGCCUUCGGGUUGUAAACCGCUUUCGCCUGUGACGAAGCGUGAGUGACGGUAAUGGGUAAAGAAGCACCGGCUAACUACGUG
rnacentral:rRNA from 1 species